GCCCAUAUGGUGAAAUUGGUAGACAUGCCAUCUUGAGGGGGUGGUGCCUUAAGUGGUGUGGGGGUUCGAAUCCCCCUGUGGGCACUU
rnacentral:tRNA from 1 species